rnacentral:rRNA from 1 species
UACGUAGGGUGCGAGCGUUAAUCGGAAUUACUGGGCGUAAAGCGCGCGUAGGCGGCUUUGCAAGUUAGAGGUGAAAGCCCGAAGCUCAACUUCGGAAUUGCCUUUAAAACUGCAUCGCUAGAAUUGUGGAGAGGUGAGUGGAAUUCCGAGUGUAGAGGUGAAAUUCGUAGAUAUUCGGAAGAACACCAGUGGCGAAGGCGACUCACUGGACACAUAUUGACGCUGAGGUGCGAAAGCGUGGGGAGCAAACAGG